rnacentral:rRNA from 1 species
AGAGUUUGAUCCUGGCUCAGAUUGAACGCUGGCGGCAGGCCUAACACAUGCAAGUCGAGCGGUAGAGAGGUGCUUGCACCUCUUGAGAGCGGCGGACGGGUGAGUAAUGCCUAGGAAUCUGCCUGGUAGUGGGGGAUAACGCUCGGAAACGGACGCUAAUACCGCAUACGUCCUACGGGAGAAAGCAGGGGACCUUCGGGCCUUGCGCUAUCAGAUGAGCCUAGGUCGGAUUAGCUAGUUGGUGGGGUAAUGGCUCACCAAGGCGACGAUCCGUAACUGGUCUGAGAGGAUGAUCAGUCACACUGGAACUGAGACACGGUCCAGACUCCUACGGGAGGCAGCAGUGGGGAAUAUUGGACAAUGGGCGAAAGCCUGAUCCAGCCAUGCCGCGUGUGUGAAGAAGGUCUUCGGAUUGUAAAGCACUUUAAGUUGGGAGGAAGGGCAUUAACCUAAUACGUUAGUGUUUUGACGUUACCGACAGAAUAAGCACCGGCUAACUUUUGUGCCAGCAGCCCGCGGUAAUACAAAANGGUGCCAAGCCGUUAAUCGG